ensembl:misc_RNA
GUAGGAGAAGCCUGUUUCCCAUUUCCUUUGAUGUCUUUUACAAGUUGCGUCUCAUUUCCUG